AAGUCGUAACAAGGUUUCCGUAGGUGAACCUGCGGAAGGAUCAUUAUUGAAACAUUGUGAAGUCAAGUUGAGCUGGCCGUCUAACGGCAUGUGCUUGCUUUUCUUUCAAUACCUUCAUCCACCUGUGCACUUUUUGUAGGUCAUGGAAAAAGUCUGGAAAGGUGUAAAAGCCAAGUACGGGUUUGGACCGUGUAUCUAUGUUUUUAUACACACUUAACGUAUGUUUAUGAAUGUCUAUUGGGGACUUUAUUGACCCUAUAAAAGUUAUACAACUUUCAGCAACGGAUCUCUUGGCUCUC
rnacentral:misc_RNA from 1 species